rnacentral:rRNA from 1 species
CUACGGGUGGCUCCAGUGGGGAAUAUUGCACAAUGGAGGAAACUCUGAUGCAGCCAUGCCGCGUGUGUGAAGAAGGCCCGAGGGUUGUAAAGCACUUUCAAUUGGGAGGAAGGUUAUGUAGCUAAUACCUGCAUAAUUUGACGUUACCUUUAGAAGAAGCACCGGCUAACUCUGUGCCAGCAGCCGCGGUAAUACAGAGGGUGCAAGCGUUAUUCGGAAUUACUGGGCGUAAAGCGCGCGUAGGCGGAUUGUUAAGUCAGAUGUGAAAGCCCUGGGCUCAACCUGGGAACGGCAUUUGAUACUGGCAGUCUAGAGUUUAAGAGAGGGAAGGGGAAUUUCUAGUGUAGCAGUGAAAUGCGUAGAUAUUAGAAGGAACAUCAGUGGCGAAGGCGCCUUCCUGGCUUAAAACUGACGCUGAGGUGCGAAAGCGUGGGUAGCGAACGGGAUUAGAUACCCCCGUAGUC